AGCGAACGCUGGCGGCAGGCCUAACACAUGCAAGUCGAACGAAGUCUUCGGACUUAGUGGCGGACGGGUGAGUAACACGUGGGAACGUACCUUUUGGUUCGGAACAGCUCAGGGAAACUUGAGCUAAUACCGGAUGAGCCCUUAGGGGGAAAGAUUUAUCGCCGGAAGAGCGGCCCGGGUUAGAUUAGCUAGUUGGUGAGGUAAAGGCUCACCAAGGCUACGAUCUAUAGCUGGGCUUAGAGGGUGAUCAGCCACACUGGGACUGAGACACGGCCCAGACUCCUACGGGAGGCAGCAGUGGGGUAUCUUGCGCAAUGGGCGAAAGCCUGACGCAGCCAUGCCGCGUGAAUGAUGAAGGUCUAGGAUUGUAAAAUUCUUUUACCAGGGACGAUAAUGACGGUACCUGGAGAAAAAGCCCCGGCUAACUUCGUGCCAGCAGCCGCCGUAACAC
rnacentral:rRNA from 1 species